UACAGAGGUCUCGAGCGUUAGGCGGAAUCACUGGGCUUAAAGCGUGUGUAGGUGGAUCGUUAAGUACCUUGUGAAAUCCCACGGCUUAACCGUGGAACUGCUUGGUAUACUGGCGGUCUUGAGCCAGCUAGGGGCUACCGGAACAAAUGGUGGAGCGGUGAAAUGCGUAGAUAUCAUUUGGAACGCCAAUGGUGAAAACAGGUAGCUGGGGCUGUGCUGACCACUGAGACACGGAAAGCCAGGGGAGCAAAACGGG
rnacentral:rRNA from 1 species